rnacentral:rRNA from 1 species
GACGAACGCUGGCGGCGUGCCUAACACAUGCAAGUCGAGCGGGAUCCAUCUGGUGGCAACACCGGGGAAGAUCUAGCGGCGAACGGGUGAGUAACACGUGAGAAACCUGCCCCGAACUUCGGGAUAACACGGGGAAACCAGGGCUAAUACCGGAUAUGACCUCCUUGGGCAUCCUUGGAGGUGGAAAGUUUUUCGGUGAGGGAUGGGCCCGCGGCCUAUCAGCUUGUUGGUGAGGUAGUGGCUCGCCAAGGCGACGACGGGUAGCCGGCCUGAGAGGGCGACCGGCCACACUGGGACUGAGACACGGCCCAGACUCCUACGGGAGGCAGCAGUGGGGAAGAUUGCGCAAUGGGCGAAAGCCUGACGCAGCAACGCCGCGUGCGGGAUGACGGCCUUCGGGUUGUAAACCGCUUUCAGCAGGGAAGAAGCCGCAAGGUGACGGUACCUGCAGAAGAAGCACCGGCUAACUACGUGCCAGCCGCCGCGGUAA